UUAUUUUUAUCAGUCAAAUAUAAUUCUCUCCCACACGGUUUUCUCCCAUAUCUCCAUGUUCCCUGAAAAUCUCCAACUGAAAAAUCAUAUCUUUCUUCCUCCUGUAACGCACGCAGCCAUCUUUUCCUCACACAUUCUCCCAUCCAAAAAUCAGAGAGAAAGACUCCAGAGAGAAACCAUCUUCAUGUAGUUUCUUCCAUCCAUCAAAAGGUUGAGAAUUCAACAGAGAGAGAGUAGAAAGAAAUCAGUAGAUUGUGAAAUACCUUCCUGCAAUUGAAAUCGCUCCAUUCCAAUCAGAGUGUGAAAGGAUAGAACCGAGAGAGAGUCGUGAAUUCAAUUAUUCCUGUUGUUCUUUUCGUUCCAAAGGGUGAGCUUGUGCACGAUGUUGGCGGUUGGAAUAAGAAGUGAUUGAGGAGUAAGUUUGUGAGGUGGUCUUUCGUUUUAAAUAAGGACUAUGUCCCAAAUAUUUUUAUUAUGUGCAAGGAGGUGAAAAUGUUUGUCUUGCCAUGUUUUGUAUUUGAAUGAACCUAUCUGAAGUGGCUAUGCCAUGCAUUGUUAAUGAAUUUGGGUCCCAGUAGGGAUGCAAACCCUGCUCGGACUGGUGUACACCCAGUAGACCGUGCACUAUCUCAUUGGAGUUGGCCGGUCUAGUGACUUGGUUCGUGG